rnacentral:piRNA from 1 species
GUUAUAAAAGGAACUCAAGAGGGACAGAU